rnacentral:rRNA from 2 species
UCGAACGAGCUUCCGUUGAAUGACGUGCUUGCACUGAUUUCAACAAUGAAGCGAGUGGCGAACUGGUGAGUAACACGUGGGGAAUCUGCCCAGAAGCAGGGGAUAACACUUGGAAACAGGUGCUAAUACCGUAUAACAACAAAAUCCGCAUGGAUUUUGUUUGAAAGGUGGCUUCGGCUAUCACUUCUGGAUGAUCCCGCGGCGUAUUAGUUAGUUGGUGAGGUAAAGGCCCACCAAGACGAUGAUACGUAGCCGACCUGAGAGGGUAAUCGGCCACAUUGGGACUGAGACACGGCCCAAACUCCUACGGGAGGCAGCAGUAGGGAAUCUUCCACAAUGGACGAAAGUCUGAUGGAGCAAUGCCGCGUGAGUGAAGAAGGGUUUCGGCUCGUAAAACUCUGUUGUUAAAGAAGAACACCUUUGAGAGUAACUGUUCAAGGGUUGACGGUAUUUAACCAGAAAGCCACGGCUAACUAC